AUGACUUUUAGGAGGAAGGUGGUGAAAGGAAGAACCCUGAGACAAAGGAAGACGUCGCCAGCCAGGGGAGGAUCACAGAAAGCAAGCCCCUUCGCCCCAGAAAUGUACCUGCUUGAGAAGCUCUGCAGUGUGUUGAAGAAAGAAGCAAUGAUACCACAAGAGGGAAGUGCAGUAGAUUAAAUGUGUCCCCCUCUCCAAAUUUAUAUGUUGAAAUCUUCAUUCCAAGGUGAUGGUAUCAGGAGGUGGGGCCUUUGGGAGAUGAUUAGGUCAAGAGGGCAGAGCUCUCCUGAGUGGGAUUAGUGCCGUUAUAAAAGAGACCUGAAAGCCGGGCGUGGUGGCUCAUGCCUGUAAUCUCAGCACUCUGGGAGGCCAAAACAGACAGAUCAUCUGAGGUCAGGAGUUCAAGACCAGCCUGGCCAACAUGGUGAAAACCCAUCUCUACUAAAAAUACAAAAAUUAGCUGGGCGUGGUGGCAUGUGCCUGUAAUCCCAGCUACUCAGGAGACUGAGGCAGGAGAAUUGCUUGAAUCUCGGAGGCAGAGGUUUCAGUGAGCCUAGAUCACGCCACUGCACUUCAACUUGGGCGACAGAGUGAGACUGCGUCUCAAAAAAAAAAAAAAAACUAAAAAUAAAUAAAUAAAUAAAUAAGGCCUGAGGGACACCCCUUCACUCCUUCCACCAUGUAAGGACACAGCUAGAAGGCACCAUUCUAUGAACUAGGUAACAGAUCCUCACCAGACAUCAAAACUGCUGGUACCUGGAUCUUGGACUUCAGCCUCCAGAACUGUGAGAAAUAAAUCUCUGUUGUUUAUAAGCCACUCUGUUCAUGGUGUUUUGUGAUAGCAGCCCACACAGAGUGAGAGAGCAGCCUGGGUGACUCACACUGCCUGGGGAUGGGCAUUAGCAGUAAUGUCCUGGGUGUAUGUAUUGGAGAUUCCAGUCUUUAGUACCUGCAUGUACAGGUAGUCUGUGUCCCCCCAAUCCCUGAUUCUCCUGAUCCAAGUAUCACCACAUCUCCCCAUGGACCUCAUCUUCCUGCCUGCUCAGUUCUACUGUGGAACUGAUUGAGUUAAAUCCUUAAGAUAAAAAAUAAAUUUUGCUCACGAUGACCAACUAGAUAAACAGGCACAUGCAAUGCCAAAACUCAAAAUCAAUAUCUGGGAGACUGUCUCUAUUUGGAAAAGGAGAGGUAUAUUAAAUUAAAGUGUGUCCUUUGAUUUUUCCCUCAACAAAAUAUGGCAGUCUCUAAAACAAAACUGCCCAGAAUGAUUUAGUAA
rnacentral:lncRNA from 1 species